GUCCAAACAGGUGUUAGAGUCCUGCUGCUGUUUCAAUUUUCUCUCUCAUCUCUUUUCCUCCCCCUUGGUGAGCUUCCCUCCUGCCCCUUCACAUAUGCUUACCUUUCUUCUUCCUCUGGUUCAAAGACACUCUUUAUUGCAACUCAGUGUUCUAGUCCUCUUGUUGUAUCCGAGUUUCGCCAAGUCUUAUAAUCCUGUCAGCAUCUUCUUGUUCUCUGAAGCUUAUGAACAAUCAUUUGCUGCUGCACAAGCACAACUGAACAUUUGAUCUAACAUUUGAAAUAUUCCUUAAUUCUAAUAUUGAAUAAGGAUUUUGGAAAGAGUCAUUGAUGGUUGUUGUGCAAGAGGUUUAAUUGUUGAUUGGUAACUUGCCUUUUCACAAAAUUCGGGUGCAGGAGAUAAACAAGAUUGAG
rnacentral:misc_RNA from 1 species